UUCUGGAGACAGGCACCGCGAGUGCUACCUACUGUUAGGACCCCGGAUCCAGUAUAAAUUCCGCCACAUGCGGCGUUGCGUUCUCUUCCUGGCCGCUCUGCUCACUUGUUCUGUUGAUGAACUUUGUGCGCGUCUUGCCGGCAUGUGCGGUUAUAAAUGGCUUUUCUACGUGGGUCGCGGGUUCGGUGUAGAGCUCGAAUGUUUGCAGCGAGAAGAGAGACCACAUCACCCGCUGCGGUUCUGCAAUGGCUGACUGGUUCCUCGCUGUAGACGCUGCUUCUGUCCCCCCGGACCGGCGUGUCCCCGCUUGCAGUUCGGCGGCCGUGGAAGACCUGUUUAUCUCUCAGGGCCAGUGUAAGGGAACCACUCAGCUCUGCAGAACCCAGAGUGUUGCCGGAUGGAUGUGGAUCUUGCAAUUUGGGUCCGUGGAUCCACUAUGCUGUGAUAAGUACUGGAGAGUAUUUUUACACUAGUCCAGUGUCAUGGUACGACCUGAUGACAUCUGUCCGCUUCAAGAUCCUCUAUCUUCUACAGUUACGGUGUUGGUGGUUCAUCUUGGUGUCAGGAACCAGGAUCCACCAACUCUGACCUGGACAGCGUUACACACAACACAUUUCUUCAAUUGUCUUUAGAGAAUAUUUUAUAUUUUAGGUCCUUAGUUGGUGAGUCGUGGUUACACCUGAAAUAUGGCAGAUUUCAAAUGUUACCUUGGUACUAUUACUGGUUACCAUAUGCAUUUUGAAGCAGUUUGGUGUUACUUCCUUUUGAGUCUUUUCUCCAAAUAAUAGUAUAUAGUGUCUGUAUAGUUUUUUUGUAUUAUUAUUUGUACGCUGCUGGCUUCUUACUUUUUAAUUUAUUCUUUGUUAAUUACUUGUAAAUGCUUUAUUAUUAAUGUCAG
rnacentral:lncRNA from 1 species